GACGCUGGCCUAGUGGUUUGAGCAUCCUCCUCUGAUGCGGGAGGUUGUGGGUUCGAACCCCAGCCGAGUCA